AAAUCUUUAGUUUUCCUGAGCCACUACCACCAGUGCGUCGCUUCACGAGAGCUCACGAUUCUGCUACAGUGCAACAGUCCCUGCCUGCGCGUGGACCGUCCGAUGCACCCACGUUGCUGAGAUCCGAACAUCCGCGUGUCUGCUUCUGCGCCAGCCCGAGCCCCUGAUCCGCUCGCCCGUCGUCAUCCCCAAGACCUCAGCCAGGCACGCCACGCACCCACCGCUCACCAAUCCCCAAUUCCCCAUCGAUCCCCAUUACCGCGGAGAAAUCAGAAAUCGGCGUCUCCACCUCAUCGCCCAUCGAUCCCAUUCAGCUUCGCCCCUCCGUUCUUCCCCGCCGACUCCUUCCCUCCGUUCUCCUUACUGAAUCAGCGUCGGCUAUGGUUGGGGGUUCUCGGUUGCUGCCGGUCACAAUGAGGAUUCCAAACAGUGCGCCAUUGAGAACCGACCACAGGUCCAGGUAUGGCCAUCUGGGCUCUAGAUUACCCCCGGCUUCGCCACACAUGACAUAGCAUCCCAUUCUACCAUCCUCCAUUUGGUCUCUAUCCAGAUUUGGUUGUCUCAUGUUGUAGCUAGGGUUUUGGUAGGUAAUGCGCAUUGCGGCGGACGAGCUGAGGCGGCAGGGUAUAGCGCAUAAACUUAAGUUUUACGUCCUUCAACAGUUCAACGAUGAAUCGAUCUGUGCAAGUUAUGCAGCUAUUGGUUGUUUGUGUGACUGCUCAACCUCGGCUUUGCUGUCCUCCGGCUAUGGUGGCAGGAAGGGAAGCACUUGCCUGUCUUCCUAUAGCUCAAGCAAUUAUGAUGGCAUGGAGGCUAAUCUUCUUUUCCUUGCAGGUUCCUAAUUGACUGAUGAGAAGAAUGUACCGCCUUUCAUGCCAGAAGAUGUUUACUGCUUGGAGCAACAAUCUUAUGGAAAACCUGUACCUUAAAACCCCAAACCAUAGUUACAUUUUUAGUGUAUCUAUAUGAGAGAAGCUUUCCUAGACUACUGCUGCUCAUUUAUAGUCUAAGCCAUCAAUUCAUUUUCAUGUGCCAUAAAUCAUGAGCAAUUUUGCCAUCCAACAGUUCGUACCUCGAGGUACCAAAAAAUUGUAGUACCUCGAGGUACCAAAUGUUGAAUGGUAAAAAGACUCAUAAAUCAUACAUAGGAGAUGCUCUGUUGCAAUUUAUACAUUGGAUUUACUCAUAUUUAUCUCAUGCAAAAGCUUUUGCAUUAUUUUUCUUUUUGGAUCGCAACAUUCAAAUGUGCUAACUGCUAAGUUAUGUCUUGAUACAAAUGUUGCAGCUUGAUGAUUGUGAUGACAGCUAUGCAAAAUUACUGACAAGUUCAUCAGACUUUACAUUAAAAUCAUACAAUAUCCUACGGCUCCUGCACAUGUUAUUCCAUCUUUAGUUCCGAAGGAUAGCUAUGGAUUCUUCAUUCUUUCCUAUGGCAUGUGUGCUGGCUACAUAUUGAUGUCAGUGAUGAUGAGUUUGCAAGAAAUCUGAUCUGUCUUUCAACUCAACGUCACAUAGUAAGAGAGUCAAUACUGGUAAUAAAAUCAUAGAUGGAAUCAAGCUACCUAGGUUAACAGCCAAUUGAGCAUAGAUAGUCCAUUGUUCAUCAUAGACUUGCAGCCAAUCACCUGUAUAUAUCAUACUUUGUCAUGUUUGUACUUCCAAGUAAAAUCAUGUCACCUCCAUGUUUUUUCUACUUAGGUAUUUAUCUUCUAGGUUUAUAGGAUGGAAUAUUUCUCGAAUACACUUUUGUCUAUGUAAAUUACAGGUGUUCUGUAUAGAAAAUUUUCCCAUCAGAAAUCUUUAUGGUUGUUCAUAUGUUAAA